rnacentral:rRNA from 1 species
UACGUAGGGGCCAAGCGUUGUCCGGAUUUAUUGGGCGUAAAGAGCUCGUAGGUGGUUCGGCAAGUCAGUUGUGAAAUCUCCGCGCUCAACGCGGAGGGGUCAGCUGAAACUGCUGUGACUUGAGUCUGGUAGGGGAGUGUGGAAUUCCCGGUGUAGCGGUGAAAUGCGCAGAUAUCGGGAGGAACACCAAUGGCGAAGGCAGCCUCCUGGGCCAACACUGACACUCAGGCACGAAAGCGUGGGGAGCAAACAGG